rnacentral:rRNA from 1 species
AUUGAACGCUGGCGGCAGGCCUAACACAUGCAAGUCGAACGAGUGGCGGACGGGUGAGUAAUGUCUGGGAAACUGCCCGAUGGAGGGGGAUAACUACUGGAAACGGUAGCUAAUACCGCAUACCAUCGGAUGUGCCCAGGUGGGGUUAGCUAGUAGGUGGGGUAACGGCGACCAUAGGCGACGAUCCCCAGCUGGUCUGAGAGGAUGACGAGCCACACUGGAACUGAGACACGGUCCAGAAUCCUACGAGAGGCAGCAGGGGGGAAUAUUGCACAAUGGGCGCAAGCCUGAUGCAGCCAUGCAGCGGGUAUUAAGAAGGCCUUCGGGUUGUAAAGUACUUUCAGCGAGGAGGCGUUACUCGCAGAAGAAGCACCGGCUAACUCCGUGCCAGCAGCCGCGGUAAUUC